rnacentral:rRNA from 1 species
CCUACGGGUGGCAGCAGUCGAGAAUCAUUCACAAUGGGGGAAACCCUGAUGGUGCGACGCCGCGUGGGGGAAUGAAGGUCUUCGGAUUGUAAACCCCUGUCAUGUGGGAGCAAAUUAAAAAGAUAGUACCACAAGAGGAAGAGACGGCUAACUCUGUGCCAGCAGCCGCGGUAAUACAGAGGUCUCAAGUGUUGUUCGGAAUCACUGGGCGUAAAGCGUGCGUAGGCUGUUUCGUGAGUCGUGUGUGAAAGGCGCGGGCUCAACCCGCGGACGGCACAUGAUACUGCGAGACUAGAGUAAGGGAGGGGGAACCGGAAUUCUCGGUGUAGCAGUGAAAUGCGUAGAUAUCGAGAGGAACACUCGUGGCGAAGGCGGGUUCCUGGACAUUAACUGACGCUGAGGCACGAAGGCCAGGGGAGCGAAAGGGAUUAGAUACCCGGGUAGUC